GCCAUUUCUAUGGAUUUGGUUUGGUGGACGCAGAAGCUCUCGUUGUGGAGGCAAAGAAGUGGACAGCAGUACCUUCGCAGCACAUGUGUGUGGCCGCCUCGGACAAGAGACCCAGGAGCAUCCCCUUAGUGCAGGUGCUGCGGACUACGGCCCUGACCAGCGCCUGCGCGGAGCACUCGGACCAGCGGGUGGUCUACUUGGAGCAUGUGGUGGUUCGCAUCUCCAUCUCGCACCCACGCCGAGGAGACCUCCAGAUCUACCUGAUUUCUCCCUCGGGAACCAAGUCUCAACUUUUGGCAAAGAGGUUGCUGGAUCUUUCCAAUGAAGGGUUUACAAACUGGGAAUUCAUGACUGUCCACUGCUGGGGAGAAAAGGCUGAAGGGCAGUGGACCUUGGAAAUCCAAGACCUGCCAUCCCAGGUCCGCAACCCAGAGAAGCAAGGUCAGUGGCUCUUGGGAAUCUCAUGACAGCUUUUGUAUCUCAACCCUCUUUUUACCUCUGGGCCUUAUUUAACUACGCAGUCUCUGAUAAUUCUUUGUUUUGUUUUGUAGAGGUAGAAUUUCCAUAACAGAAAAUUGACCAUUUUAAUUAUUUUUAACUGUACGUUUCAGUGGCUUUUAGUCCAUUCACAGUGUUGUGUAACUGUCACCACUAUCUAAUUCCAGAAUGUUUUCAUCCCCACAAAAAGAAACCCCAUACGCAUGAAGCAGCCGCUCCCCAUUCCCUCCUCCCCUCCCAGCUCCUGGCAACCUCUAAUCCACUUACCGUUUCUUUGGAUUUGCCUCUCCUGGACAUUUCAUAUAAAUGAAAUAACACAACACCUGGCCUUUUGUGUCUGGCUUCUUUCACUUA
rnacentral:sRNA from 1 species